rnacentral:rRNA from 1 species
UGUAAGCGUAUACCAAAGUUGUUGCAGUUAAAACGCUCGUAGUCGGACUUUGGCAGUUCCGGAUGUGUGCACGUCGUGUGCGCACUUCGCGGGGAUUGCUUUUGUGGUCUUGCGUAGGAUGAGGCACUUUUAUUAGUGAACGUCCUCACGCAACCACUUUUUACUGUGAGAAAAUCAGAGUGCUCGAAGCAGGCAUUUGCCGUGAAUGUAUUAGCAUGGAAUAAUAGAAUAGGACUUGGUUCUAUUUUGUUGGUUUGUUGGGACUGAGUAAUGAUUAAGAGGGACAGUUGGGGGCAUUUGUAUUUCGGUGCUAGAGGUGAAAUUCUUAGAUUACCGAAAGACAAACUGCUGCGAAAGCGUCUGCCAAGGAUGUUUUCAUUGA